CCUGCUUGCUCAUCCCAUAUAAGCCCUAGACCACCAAAGAUCAGGACCUGAUAUUCUGGGAAUGAUCCAGAUCAGUGCUUGUUGAUGUCCACCAAGUCAUAUUUGGCAAUCCAGGACACCCUGACCAGGUUAUCUACAUCCAAGUGUGGAUCGAUCUCGUCACAGACUCCCCUAAGUGGGUCAAAAAGCAUUUUCCUCACCAUAAGGUUCUUCUUUCUCAGCCCUGCUGGACUCCCAAGCUGGCUUCCCCUCCUCCGGUCCUCCAGGAAACCCCUGAUCCCCCUGACUCUCCUACCCUCUACCCUCGGCUUCUCCCACCUUACCCUACCCCUGACUUGUAGUGAUCUUCUGGUCCCCCUGCCCUUACCAGCCCUUCGCGUACGCGGAGCGGCUGACCUUUUUGGGAGACACCCUUUGCCUCCAGUCCACUCCCCGACUCCUCUAACCCUUCUCCACCUCCCUCUGCUUGCCUGGAUCUCCUCCCCCUUUGCAAGGUGCCCUGGGCCAACUAGGAGGAAGGCCCGUUCCUAGUUCAUGUUCUAUUCUCUAGCAAUGACUUGUUUAAUUGGAAGCAUCAAUAUCUGCCUUUCUCAAAGGAUCCCCAAGCUUUGAUAUCUCUCAUUGAGACAAUAUUUGCCACCCAUGCCUCCAUGGGAGACUGCAAACAGCUUUUACAGGUCCUAUUCACUUCAGAGGAAUGGGAAUGCAUCUGCUCCCAUGGGCAAAAAGUGGUUCUUGGACUGGAUGGCCAACCUGCCACUGAUCCUAGACUAAUAGAGCAGCGUUUCCCAUCCGCCCACUCAGACUGGAACCCCAACGGAUAUGCAGCCAACUAAUUUGUCCAAGGUAACUGAAGUUAGUCCGGGGCCUAAUGAGUCUCCGGCAGUGUUCCUUGAGCGCCUCGAAGAGGCUUAUUGUAUAUACACUCCAAUUGAUCCGGAGGCACUAGAAAACAGUACCCACUGAGUCAACAAGCUCGGGAAGGCAUAGCUAAACACAUCUCAAGACUAAGGCUCUCUGGGAUCCUGGUCACCUGCAAGUCCCUCUGGAACACCCUGCUGCUCCCGGUCCAGAAGCCCAGCACCAAUGACUACCGGCCUGUCCAGGAUCUCUGAGAGCACACCUCUGGGAUUCUGGCUGCAAUCCCAGGACAAGAGACACCAAUGGGAGAAAGAAAUGACGCUGGGCAUGGUGUUGCCAACCUGUACUUCCAGCACUCUUGGAGCCUGAGGUAAACUGACUUCUGAUUGUGAGCAUGUAAGAAGAGAGUACAUCAUGUGUCUUGAAAUGCAGAGAUAUGAAGAUGGAAUCAGCGAGCCAAGGAAUGCCUUGCUGCCAGGCCUUGUGGUGCACAUCUGCAAUCCUAGCACUCAGGAGGCUGAGGCAGGAGGAUUGCUAAUACAGAAAACUGAAGCCAGAUGGAGC